GAAGAAGAAAUACAAAAGGACUUUCUCUUUCAACCUCUAGCCUUUUUUCUUGGUUUUGAGUGAUGGAUCCUUUGUCUUCUAGAUUUUCCAAGUCCUUUUUUUGGGGGAAUCAAGCAUCUUGGUCCGAAAGAUUUGCUUCCAUCGAAGCAAAUUUAGUACUAGCUUAUAUCUUUUAAGUUUUUUUGUUUGGGUUUUAUGCUUUUCUUGUUGUGGUAUUGAAGAAAACUAGGAACUGGAAGAAGUUGUGUGUUUUAUUUGUGUUCUAUUCGAGAUCUCUCUUUUCUACAUAUGAACUCUUUAACGUACUUUCUGCGAUUCAUACAAUCUGGUCUUUUCUUGAUCUAAA